rnacentral:rRNA from 1 species
UACGUAGGGUGCGAGCGUUAAUCGGAAUUACUGGGCGUAAAGCGUGCGCAGGCGGUUCGUUAAGUCAGAUGUGAAAGCCCCGGGCUCAACCUGGGAACUGCAUUUGAAACUGGCGGGCUUGAGUGUGGCAGAGGGGGGUGGAAUUCCGCGUGUAGCAGUGAAAUGCGUAGAGAUGCGGAGGAACACCGAUGGCGAAGGCGGAUCUCUGGGCCAUUACUGACGCUGAGGAGCGAAAGCGUGGGGAGCGAACAGG